GUUGUACUCCCUCCGUUCGGAAUUACUUGUCUCGGAAAUGGAUGUAUCUAGAACUAAAAUACAUCUAGAUACAUCCAUUUCUGCGACAAGUAAUUCCGAACAGAGGGAGUAUUAG
rnacentral:pre_miRNA from 1 species